AUGAGACCUGCGUCUCAUACCAGGGUUCCCUCUUGGGACCUGGCGGUGGUUCUCGAAGGGUUGGUUGAGCCCCCCUUCGAACCGCUGGAGUCGGCUGAGGCCAAGAACCUUUCCCUAAAGGUGGCUUUCUUGUUGGCCAUUACCUCUCUGAGGAGGGUAGGAGAUCUCCAGGCGCUCUCUAUAUCUAAUGGGUGCCUGGAGUUUGCUCCAGGCGACAUCAAAGCCAUCCUACAUCCUAGGCCGGGCUAUUUGCCCAAGGUGCCGUCUAACGUGGCACGGCCUACGGUUCUGCAGGCUUGUCAUCCUCCGCCUCAUGUGACGGCGGAUGAAGAGAGACUUCACCUGCUCUGCCCUGUCAGAGCUCUCAAAAUAUAUAUCCAGAGGUCCUCCUCAUGGCGGAAGUCAGACCAGUUGUUAGUGUGUUUCGGGUCACCCAAGAAGGGGCUUCCUGCUUCCAAACAGACCAUUAGCAACUGGAUUGUCCAAGCUAUAUCUAUGGCCUACCAGGUGCGCAAAUUGCCUUCACCUCUGGCCGUGAGGGCUCACUCUACCAGAGGCAUGGCGUCCUCUAGAGCCCUCCUUUCAGGGGUCCCUGCGAUGCAGCAGGAUGGGCCACCCCUCACACUUUUAUUAGAUUUUACAGCCUGGACAUUCCAUCGACACCUGGCACAGAAGCUAUCUCUGUUGUGUGCCGGCGUCCUUUUGUAGCUUCCGCUUAUGCCGUCACACAUUACGUCAUGACGCAACACCAAUCAGGAUUGGCUUAGUUUCAUUCAUACUUCAGAGGCGCUACGCUGAGGGGCAUUUCCCCAAAGUGUCGGUCGACGCAGUUCUCGUUCCCUUUCUCGGGGAACAAGGGUUACAGUUGUAACCCGAGACGUUUUUUACUAACCAUGCAUAAACGUUGUUUUCUUAAAAACACAAUCAUGUACAUGCAUGCUAUUUACAUAUUAUUGUAGCGCAGUUUGUACUGAUUACAGUGUUAUUAGACUUUAGCCAUGUAUCUAUUUAUAAGCAACUGAAAAAAGCACAAAAGUCAGGGGAUGUCAAAAUUUCUCCAGGCCCCCAGAAAACCCCUAGACCUCAGAGGGUUAAUUAGGCCAAAUUAAGACAAGAAACAAAUAAAAAUAAACCUGGCCACGAUUUAGCUAAAUAAUUGAAACUGAAAAGAAUGGACGUAUUAAUAAAAUGUCCUCACAUUUAAACUCAUUUUCUCCCGUUAUAAUCAACAAAGUGCACACAAUGAGCUUCAAAGAGCUUCAUUAAUUGACAGCUUCAGUGAUUGUAAAUGGAGCCUUCUUUACUUGCUUUCAUGCAAUUUAAUUAAAACUCAAAAAAAUAAAAAAUUCCAGCCACAUUUAAAUUGCAGGAUUGUAGGCCUAUUCUAUUCCUUAAAAUAUCAGAUUGCAAGAUUUGCACGACGCACAACAUUUAUUCUUAUUUGUCUACAUAUUUUUUCUUCAAAACAAAUCUUUUUUUUUAUCAUUGCAUGUAAAAAUAAUAAACUUUGUAAUGAAUAUGCAAAAUGUGAAACUGCAAUCUUAUUCGCAGUCUAUAGCAUUUUAUAAUUAUUUGUACAAUAAUAUCUAACUUAACUUGCUCUGCAUCUUUAUUAUUUAAUGUAAAAGAGAUUUAUUAAAACAAUCAAAAUCAAUGAAUUGGAGCGGCAUCAGCCUUUAGAUCAUUUUAAAAUGUCAAAUAUCCUUUAAUUUACAGGUUAUAACUGCAUCUGUCUCAGUUGUAGACUUGUGAAGAUUUAUUUUUAAUGCGGAUCCCAUACUAUAACCUAAAAGAAAUGUGCUCUUUCACUAUUCAUAUUCAAGCGUUUGAAUUUAUUGAUGCGCAUGCAUGACAGCGAAGCGCCCUCACGAUCAUUUUUUUUUUACCUGAUAAUGAAAAAACUUAAAACUGGGGUGCCUUACAUACAUGAGAAAUAUAUCUACAGAAAUCUUGAAAUGUCUACUUUUAAACGAACCAAUUUAAAACGAAAGUAAAUACUCCCUGAUUAUGUGCAUCCUGUGGAGAUGAGAGUCGACAGCACCAUGAAUUUCAUCUUGCAGCAGACAAGAAAACAUUAGUUUAUUAAUAAAUAAUUAAAAUGUCUCCCUUUUCACAAUUAUUAAGCUACUUCUGCCUGUGCUUUGUGGCAAACUUAAUGCGUGUGCUUGAGCACAGAAUAUAUUAGCUAAGGCUCAUUAUGGAUUAGACUGUGUUCAUUUAAUAUAAACGUUAGAUUAGUUGAAUAAUGACAAAUGUACGACUACUAGUAACUAGAAAAAUCUUAUGUGGGGGGCAGACCUAUUAAAUACCCUCUAUACAUCUCUGUUAAAGUUUUUAAAGCAUUUUAUGUGCGUUUAUAAAUUCUGCUUUCAGAACAGUCCAUAACGGAGAGAUGCCUUAACAUUGAUUUUUCCUCUGAAACACAAAAACUAAAAUUUAAAUAAAAUAGAUAUUUUAUGGUUUGAGAAUGGUCAACACUUCUCCAUUCUGCAUAUAUUUCUGCAUAUAUUGUUGCUUCUGGUUUGUGCAUUGUAAACCACAGAAAGUCUACAAAAACUCCGGUCUUUUUUGUCAAGCCCGUAACGCACGUGUAUUUCCCAAAUCUGAAAUAUCCUGUAAAACAUGUUCAUAGACGAAUACUUUUCUGAUGUCUGGACUCUAUUUGGGAUUUAGAAAAACAUAAAGAAAUGGUUCAAUAUUUUGGUAAUGAAUACAUUCUGGGAGAAUUUACAUUUCAGGUUUUGACUGUGAAUGUCACGUCAGUAACGCUGGAAUUGCCCGAUAAUGAAACUAAAAAUAAUUAGGCCUACGUGAUGUCUCGGGACAGGUUCUUAUUAUUGCAAUAUAUUUUUACAUUUGUAUUGCCAAAAUGACUGCAGUGUUGCUGCGUACAAUUAAAACAGUACAAUAGCACAGUGAAAAUAGUACAAAGCAGCAUAGGCUGUAGAUUUAAGAACAAAAGUUUUUGUCUUUUUGGCAGAUGUCUUUCGCCAGUUUCUUUUUUGUCUCUCUCUCAGAAGCACCUCAUCUCUCCUGAGAUAAAACAAAAACAUAUUAUAUUGUAUGUAAUACUCUUAAGGCCUAAGCAGUUGCAAAAAAAAAUUGCAAAAGCCAAUCCCAACGAGGCAUGAAAAUACUGUCUAAACCUGCUCUGCAAGUUUGAAACCCUCAUCAGUCACUGUCCAUAUGAAAGAGCAAGAGAUUCACACCUUUAUUUUUCAACCCCCAUAAGCUAUACAGAACUACCCCCAACCCCCUCCAGCUGAACUGAAUUCAGUCGCCACUGGUUGCUUAGUGUAAAAUGGACACACUCUAUCUAAAAAAAAAAAAAAAAUUGGUGUAACAUAAACCAGUGAACUCCAGAACAUGUUUGUAUUAAUAUUUUUUUUAUUUUAUUUUAUUAUAUAUAAAUUCAUUCUUUUUGCAAAAAUCAUUGUUAUUUGUGAACGUAGGCAUUUAAGGAAGGCUUUAAGACCAAGCAGAAUCCUCUGCCAGCUGCUCCCGCUUCACAGUGAGCACGACUCGCACUAAGCGGAAGGUUCGAAAGUUUUUAUUUUACAAAAUCAGUUUUGGUGAAUGCAACUUAUUGAUCAUGAGCCCAACAUUAAGCAAGGGAGGAAAACAUUCAGUCUACCUGAAGGAAGAAAAAUACAUUGAAAAAACAAACAAUCCAAACACCAGAAGCAACCUACACUCUCUUUAAGUGUUCUUUCAUUGAAAAGUAUGCAUUUUUAUUAAUUCACAGGCUAUAUGGUUGGACUAAUGUUUUAGUUCAAAACUUUAACUGGCAUUGUUUAAAAAAUGCUUUAUUGACUGACAUUUCAUAGACCUUCAGGGUUUUCUUUAUACUAGAUUUAACUUGAAUCUCAAUACUAUUAAACUGACUUUAAAAUCUCAAGGAGUUUAUAAGUUGAAACAGGUGAAAAUGUCAUAGUACAUGUUAAAUAGCUUAAAUGAACUUGUAUCUUGUAUAGUAACAGAAGACCUUGAUUGCAUGUUACCAUGAAACUAACAAUAUAAUUUAUUUGUUUUUAAAAAUGAACAAUUCCUGUAUAAAAUGGGACAGCAACCUUUAUAUCAAACAUUUUUAAAUUGUCCACAGAUGAGGAUCGCGGGAGGCAGGUUCUGUGCCAGAGCACACAAAGUGAAUGUGCAUGCAGUUUUUAGAGGGGAGUUUUUUUUUUUUAAGUAACUUUCAGAUGCAAUGGAAGAAAAAUGGGAUAAACACAAACACAAAACUUGUAAAUAGUUAACAACAUAGCCUAGAUUAACCCACAGUAAAAAAAAAAAAAUAUCAACAAAUUUAUUAACCCAUUAAUUAUUUUAUUCUGCAUGUUUUUAAAAAACGUUUUUGAAAGAAAAAAAAAAUAUGUCAUUUAAAAGUCGCAUUUUAUUACAUUCAGAAAUAAUGUUAUAAUGUACCAAAGAGAUAUUUUUUAGUUCCC
ensembl:lncRNA